UGUAGUACAGGUGUAACCUGUCCGUACAGUAACUCAGUCAUGUGGUGUAGUACAGGUGUAACCUGUCCGUACAGUCACUAAGUCAUGUGGUGUAGUACAGGUGUAACCUGUCCGUACAGUAACUCAGUCAUGUGGUGUAUUACAGGUGUAACCUGUCCGUACAGUAACUCAGUCAUGUGGUGUAGUACAGGUGUAACCUGUCCGUACAGUAACUCAGUCAUGUGGUGUAGUACAGGUGUAACCUGUCCGUACAGUAACUCAGUCAUGUGGUGUAUUACAGGUGUAACCUGUCCGUACAGUAACUCAGUCAUGUGGUGUAGUACAGGUGUAACCUGUCCGUACAGUAACUCAGUCAUGUGGUGUAGUACAGGUGUUACCUG
rnacentral:lncRNA from 1 species